GCAGUCGAGCGAGCUGAAUUCAAAGAUCCCUUCGGGAUGAUUUGUUGGACGCUAGCGGCGGAUGGGUGAGUAACACGUGGGCAAUCUGCCCUAAAGACUGGGAUACCACUUGGAAACAGGUGCUAAUACCGGAUAACAACAUGAAUCGCAUGAUUCAAGUUUGAAAGGCGGCGCAAGCUGUCACUUUAGGAUGAGCCCGCGGCGCAUUAGCUAGUUGGUGGGGUAAAGGCCUACCAAGGCAAUGAUGCGUAGCCGAGUUGAGAGACUGAUCGGCCACAUUGGGACUGAGACACGGCCCAAACUCCUACGGGAGGCAGCAGUAGGGAAUCUUCCACAAUGGACGCAAGUCUGAUGGAGCAACGCCGCGUGAGUGAAGAAGGUCUUCGGAUCGUAAAGCUCUGUUGUUGGUGAAGAAGGAUAGAGGCAGUAACUGGUCUUUAUUUGACGGUAAUCAACCAGAAAGUCACGGCUAACUACGUGCCAGCAGCCGCGGUAAUACGUAGGUGGCAAGCGUUGUCCGGAUUUAUUGGGCGUAAAGCGAGCGCAGGCGGAAUGAUAAGUCUGAUGUGAAAGCCCACGGCUCAACCGUGGAACUGCAUCGGAAACUGUCAUUCUUGAGUGCAGAAGAGGAGAGUGGAACUCCAUGUGUAGCGGUGGAAUGCG
rnacentral:rRNA from 1 species